UAGUUUGCAAUACUUUCUUUCAGAAACUGAGCACUGGGUUAAAAGGGCAAGUCUCUCAUCUUCAUUUUUUCAUGAAUACAGAAGAAUAUCAAGCAAGCUGCAAAAAUCCAACAGGAAGCAUUCUGAAAAAUGAAAAUGCAAAAACUAUCUCUUUGUCAACCCAACUUGCUAUGAGUUAAUAAAAUCAGGUAACUAUUUUAGCUGGUCAUGAAAGAUGUAAAUUUUUAUUAUGAAGAAUACAAACUCUUAUGGACUUCAUUUUAAAAAUUGAAAAGGUACAAGUGAUAUACCAAUAACUGGAAGAACCUGAAGAGAAUAUUUUAUAUUGCUGUUGUAUUGUACAGGUUGAAAGUAAUGAAGACAUCAAUCUUGCAAAUGUGGAUAUGUUUCCCAAGGCCACUGUCACCAGCAUUAGUCUAAAUUUAUUACAGCACUCACU
rnacentral:lncRNA from 1 species